AAUACACAUUCAAAACUAAGUGGUGAAAAGAUCCCAAACAAAAUACAAAAAAUGGUUUACAUAUUGGAAAAUACACAUUCUUUGGCCGAGUGCUGCUCGCCGUUCUUUGGCCGCGCCGCUGGGAGAGCUUGCCAGCUUCCGCGUUGUCUACCGGCGAAUGCCAACCUAUCGCGGUGUCUACCAACCACAUGACUGACAAUGACGUCUCUGCCCCGUCACCGCCGAUUUCCAUGGAUUUGAAGAAUGAAAAGCACUCCUUGCAAAUCCAGGCUCCUAAGUAAAGGGAAAAAAUCUGAAAUGUUAGGCCUUCCAAUCUCUUCCAGUAAAUGCCAGACAAGGUCCUUAAACUCUUGUAAGUUUGAAGAAGUGUGGCUAGCAAAAUCCAUUGAGAUAAGUGUGUUGGACAACAUAUUAAGCGCGGUAGUAAACCCUGCCUUACCAAUAUCAACAGGUAGGCCAGUUUCACAACAUUUAUGCACAUACUCAACUAGCUCUUUCACCUUUUGAUGCCGUAUAUCCUGGCUUUCAUGAGCCGAUAGGAUGUGAAUAACUGAAGGGAUAAAAUCUUCCUAAGCUGACGCCAUUUGUGGCAUACUGGUAGCCAAACAAUAGAGAGUUUGUCAUGGUUUAGGGGCCUCACAGCAUCUUGGAUAAUCCUACUAGAAAAGACUAGGUCGUGCUUCAAGAACAUUUCUUUUGCUAUUUCUGGGGAUGAUAUCACUAUUGUAGUGAUGCUCCCAAGCUUCAGAGCCAUUAUAGGACCAUAAAUUCCUGAGAGCUCAGCCACUGAAAGAUGAGGUUUGUCGCCGAGCUUAAGGAUGUUGCCUAUGAUAGGCCAUGGUUUUGGUCCUGGAGGGCAGAUCGGUUUGGAUUUGUGAAACAAUUUUGAAAUAAAGAUAAUGGUGAAGACGAUGAAGAGUAAGGUAAUAGUGUAAUACUCCAUUAUUGAUACAGGAGCUUUAAUUUAUGAAACUUGUGGAAUAUAAAGGAGUAUGUUGGACAAUACCGACUAUAGUAUUGUGCUCAUGAGAAGUUUUACUCUAUAUUUCACCGAAUGCUGUUUAUGUUAUUUGUCAUUUAGACUCUCUUUACACCAAACAAGCAAACAAAUUGACGUGUACAGCUGAUGGCCUUCAAAGUCUUCUUUGAACAGAAAGACCAUAAUUUCUUUUGUAUAAUGUUGGACAAAUUGUCAUGUCCUUGGUCCUUGUCUAAUCUCUUCCCUGUGAUAUUAACUCGUUAAUCACAUCAUUAUUUUUGGGCUUUUGGCUAGGAAUGUCGGUUAUUCUUUGUUUUUCAGACAAAAUGAUUCAGUUUA